AUGGUUCUGAAGACCGAGCUCUGCCGUUUUAGCGGCCAGAAGAUUUACCCAGGGAAGGGUAUCAGGUUCAUUCGUUCGGAUUCGCAGGUUUUCCUCUUUGCCAACUCAAAAUGCAAGCGCUACUUCCACAACCGCCUCAAGCCUGCAAAGCUUUGCUGGACAGCAAUGUACAGGAAGCAGCACAAGAAGGACAUCCAUGCUGAGGCUGCCAAGAAGAGGCGCCGCACCACCAAGAAGCCGUACUCACGGUCGAUUGUUGGUGCCACUCUGGAAGUUAUCCAGAAGAAGAGGGCUGAGAAGCCUGAAGUCCGUGAUGCUGCCCGAGAAGCCGCUCUCGAGAUCAAGGAGCGGAUCAAGAAGACCAAGGAUGAGAAGAAGGCCAAGAAGGCAGAGGUGACCAAGUCCCAGAAGUCACAGGGGGGCAAGGGCGCCGUGCAGAAGGGUUCCAAGGGCCCAAAGAUUGGCGGCGGCGGCGGGAAGCGUUGA
rnacentral:rRNA from 1 species